rnacentral:rRNA from 1 species
UACGUAGGGUGCGAGCGUUGUCCGGAAUUAUUGGGCGUAAAGAGCUCGUAGGCGGUCUGUCGCGUCGAAUGUGAAAACCCGGGGCUCAACUCCGGGCUUGCAUUCGAUACGGGCAGGCUAGAGUUCGGUAGGGGAGUCUGGAAUUCCUGGUGUAGCGGUGGAAAUGACGCAGAUAUCAGGAGGAACACCGGUGGCGAAGGCGGGACUCUGGGCCGAUACUGACGCUGAGGAGCGAAAGCGUGGGGAGCGAACAGG